ensembl:lncRNA
CUGGGAGUCAAGGUCUGAGGGAGCCAUGUUUGAAAGAGCAUGCUUGCAAUUUAUUAAUGAACAGCCAGCCAUCAGGGAUAAUAAACAGCUGCUGUGUUUCGACACUGGGAUGAUGGCGUUCUGUGGUGGAUAAGAUGAUUCAUGUCUUGGGUUCUUUCGAGUGAAAGGAUCUUCACACUUGUCUCUUCGGCUGUGGAGGGAAUCCACCACCCUGAGCCACGUGUUUAUUGUUCUCAUCACUGCAGUGCAAGAAAGAUAUGGAGGCCCUGGAGCGUGUCCAGAGAAGGGCAACAAAGCUGUGCAGGGUCUGGAACACAAGUCUGAUGGGGAACGGCUGAAGGAACCGGGACUGUUCAGUAUGGAGAAGAGAAGGCUCGCAGAAGACCUUAUUGCUCUCCACAACUCUCUGAAAGGAGGUUGUGGUAAUGUGGGGGUCAGCCUCUUCUCACUGAUGACAGCGAUAAGACUGGAGGGAAUGACCUUGAGUUUCACCAGGGGAGGUUCAGGUUGGAUGUUAGGAAAAAUUUCUUAGAAAGACUGAUAAGGCAUUGGCACAGGCUGCCCAAAGAGGUGUUGGGGUCACCAUUCCUGGAGGUGUUUAAGGAAACGGUAGUUCUAGUAUUGAGGGACGUAGAUUAGUGGGCAAUGUUGGAGGUAUGUGGAUGGUUGGACUAGAUGAUCUUGGAGGUCUUUUCCCAACCUUAAUGACUCUAUGAUUCUAUGAUCAUUUUGCUGCUGGCUGGGCGAGUGCUGUCUCUGUCUGCUUGAUGAGCCGCAACCUCCUGAGUCUCCUCAGGUGGAUGAGGACUGAGGGGCAACCUCAGUUUUUUCAUCUGUCCAAUGGGGACAGUGCUUUCUCCCCAACAUGGUUGUGAUGGAUUAGCAGGUAGUGCUUAAAGAGUUGCUUCAGAAGAGCUGUAAUUCACCAGGCUGUCUCCUGGUGAGUGGAGGUCUGACAGGAGAUGAUCUAUGGAUUCACUGUCUCGAAUUGUUGGCAGUUUAUGCGGCUUUCCUAAUGGUGGAAAUUAGUGAGUGAAAAUUCAGUGCCACACUGGAGCAAUUGGGUCUUCCUCUGUGUUUCAUGGGAGACCUCUCAUACUCAUCUCUUUCUACCUGUCUUGCAAGAAGCUGCCCAAGGUGCAGUGUCAUCCCCCUGACCCACUGGAGGGAAACCUGCAGAUCUCUGCUUUUCAUCUGAGCUUUCCUGUCCCUUAGUGCACUUCUGGUGUAGGUGCUUUUUUUGCCUGUUCCCAUUAGGUGUCUCCCUUUUCCUCCUUUUGAACCAGCUGAUUCUGUGCAUGUUCUGAUGGAUGAUCACCCUUUAUAACCCAGAUCUAACCUGGGGCACCCAGAGCAGUGCUGGGGUCAGAGACCCUCUGCCAGGACGUUCCCCUGUGCUACAACUGCAUAAGGAAAACAAAUGCCAGAGGGAUCCCCAGUAGCAAGCUAUGCACAAAGGAAUGUGCCCCUUCCCCAGAUUCUAAUGUGACAUGACGGCAGUGAUAUUCCUGAAAGUAUGCAUGUGGGAAGAAAGCCCCUUUCAGGCACUUGUGCCAAUGGGAUAAAGAAUUCUGCCUGAGCCAAUAUCAAGACUUGUUAAUGUUGCUUUGCUGGGACUCUUUUGGCUGUUCCUUCUGUAGCCGAUUUCAGAAUCUACCUCUGCUUUUAUCAGUUGAAUCCUUGUGUAGCCCCUGUGACAUUUCAUAGAGCUAUCUAUAAUUAGUCAGGUACUGCGCAUCUCUUGACACUGGGCACACAUUCCUGCUGAUCCAAUAUAUUGCAGGUUGGGAAGACAAUAGCAAGAACAGCACCCUCCAUGCUCUAUCAUUCAGUGGCAUGUUCCUAGGACAUCCAGAAAGCACCUUGCUCGUGGAUUUUGUAUGUCACUAAACCCUUUAAAGCUGAUUGUGUUAUUUUAUUCUUAUUCAAUGCUGAACCCACCACUGCUACUCUUGCAGCGUAUACACCUAGGUCAUCUUAUCGUCAUUUUGUAGAGAUGGAGAUGCAAGCUUGAGACUAAGACAGUAUUCUAUGUGUUGGGUCCUGGAGUGGGACUUUUUCUUUUGUUUUUUAGUUCUGGGCAUGGGCUCCUGUAGCUGGCAGUGGUGUUAGUUCAGCUGUCCCACAUGCAGGGGACUGUGCCAGAUGCAGCUGCAUCUAUAAUCUUUGGACUAAGCUGACAUAUAAAGAUCAUGUUGCAUCUGGUCUCUGUGGCUUGGGUAACUUACCACAGGUUGCACAGCUGAGGCUGGGAAGCAAUCCAGCUCUCCUGCCUCUGAUCUCUGAGAUCCAACUUUUACAACUGCUUCCUCUACCACAGAGUGGCACUGAUGAGGUAAGUCAUUAAUGUCAAGAGAGGUAACAUAGAUGUAGCCAGGUUGGCAAAACGUGGAAUACAAAGUGGUUGGAAAACUGGACAGAUGUGCUCAAGAGUGAAUGCUAAUGAGUGGAAAUGUGGCUGAUGGUCAGUGUUGAGUGGUAUUCUUUGGCUCUUGGUGCUGGAGUCGAUCAACACCUUCAUCACUGUGCUGGGUGAUGGGAUGGCAGGCAUCUCAGUGACCUGUAGAUGAUAACCAACUGAGAGGGGCAGUGAGUGCUCUGAAGCCUUGGCUGCUAUGCUGAGAGACGUGACAAGCUGAAAGAUCAUUGAAUAGCUUGGAAGAGACCUUAAACAUCAUCUACUUCCAACCCCCUCCUGCGGGCAGGGUUGCCAACCAGAAGGGCCCUGUCCAACGUGGCCUUGAAUGCCCCCAAGGAUGGGACAUCUACAACUUCUUUGGGCAAAGAAAUGAGCAUACAGGAACCUCAGGAAGCUCAACAAACCCACAUGUGUUCAGCCAAGGACACUGGCUAUACAGUGUACUAGCCUACAGCAUGAGGCUAAGAGAGAUAGGUUUGCUCAACUUAGAGAACAGGGGCUAAAAGGAGGGUUGACUGUUGUGUCCAGCUGCAGGGCUGAAAGGAGGGUUGCAGAGGGGGGGAAAGCAGGCUUUUCUCAGGUGUUUGUAGAAAGAUGACAGGAGACAAUAGUCACUAUAUGUAGCAAGUGAAAUGAUGACUGAAUAUAUGGAAAAAAAAUCAUAACCAGUGGUUAACUACCAGCAUAAUUGCCCUGCACAGAAAGGCUGUAUAGUUUCUAUCUCUGAAGAUUUUCAAAACAUGACUGAACAAAAGCCCUGGGUAACCUGGUUUAACUUUGAAGCUCUGAGCCUGAAUUCUGACCAGAUGACUUCCAGAGGUGCCAUUCAACUCCAUUCAUUCCACGACACUACAAUUGCUGGAUACCUACAGUAUAAUUCCUCCUGUAUUUCCCCAGUGAACUGAUCUGAAUCUUUCAUCAUUAUUGUUUUCACAGGCACACCUUUUGUAACCACCACAUAUAUCACAAAGGAGAGAAAAAAGCCAACACCGAAAGGAAAAAUUGAAGCAAAGUAGUAUGAGAGAGCUACACAGAACCUCCAGUGUUUCAAAGCUGCUGGUUGCUGCUAGUGUUGGCAUGAGAGGAAGCAUAAAGUGGAUCAAGUGCAAGGGCAAACAGUCCGAGGCAUUCUGCUAGCAGAGUCUCCUGUCAUCCUCCUGCUUUUCAACAUGAUGGCGAUCCAAGCUGCGCAGAGUCUUGGAUGUAGCUCCAAGCACUGAAUCACUUUGACUCCCCUCCCUCCCCUGCAAUGAUCACACAUAGAAAACAGACAUGACUGAGAGAGACUUGGGCCAGUUUCUAAAAAGAAAGUCACUUUUCAACACAAUCUUCCAUGGAAAGGGAUUGUUUGGUUUUGUCGCUUAACAAACACCCCGAUGGCCUGAUGAGAAACACUUGUCAAGCUGAGUUUCCUUCCUCAGACUUGGGGUUAGGAAACUGUACUUGCUGGAAAAGGAUGUUUGUAGCCUUGAAAUGGGAUUAGUCCCUUGAUACCCUUCCUCCUUCAUAGUCCCCACUCACAUUCAAUACCAAAAGAGUGACAAACAUGUCCCUGAUGCACCUUGUCCCUGUUGUACCUUCACAAGGUAAUUUUAACGUGGUAUGAAACUUUCUAUAUUAGAAUAUUAAGGCUGCAAAGUGAAAUUCUCUGUGAUAUGAUAUUAACUCUGUUCUCUUAUUAGUGUAAAUGAGUAUCUGAAGUUGUGACAAGCUACUGCCUAAUUGGCAUUAUCUUCUGCGUACAUGGGUAAUGUACCCUGCUUGUUAUCGACCUGGCAACACAGCAAACGGUUAUUAAAUGGGUGGUUGGUUGAACACACUCUGUGUACAUCUGUGUUGGUACUUUAAACUGUGCCAGUGCAUGGGACCAGGUCACUUGUACAGUUCUGCCCUGGACAAAUCUGACUCUUUAAAUUUCACAGACACUGUCUGUUAGUACAGUCAGGCAGGAGAUCUGAAGUGAGAGCUUAGUGGUAUGGGUACAACAAAAGAAAGCUCAAAUUUACUAGUCUAGAUACAUUUCUGUGUAAAUAUAUAUCUGUGCUUUGCCCCUAGCCUUACUCAUACCUGGACCACAAUCUUCAUCCUUGACAGGACAAGAGGUAAUGGCCUUAAAUUAAGACAGGGGAGGUUCAGACUGGAUAUUAGGAAAAACUUCUCAGAAGGAGUGGUGAUGCAUGGGCACAGCCUGGCCAGGGAGGUGUGGGAGUCAUCAUCCCUGGAGGUGUUUGAGAAUGGAUAGAGGUGGCACUGAGUAAUGUGGUCUUGAGUAGUCAUAGGCAUGGGCUGAUGGUUGGACUAGGUGAUCUUAGUGGUCUUUCCAACCUUAAUGGUUCUUUGCUUCUAUGAUUCUCAACUCCGAUCAUGCUUUCCUUGACUUGGACUUUCUUACCAACCUGCAUCUGCUCUGCCUACUUCCAUCCCAAAGUGCAUCCUUGCCUUUACAUUCUGUAUUAAUCCUGCUUUUCUUUAGCUCCAUGGCUUUACCUCAUCCUGUCUCCAGGAUGUACAAUGUAGUUUAGAUCACCUCUUUGACUUGCAAACUCUCCCUAUAUUCUUCUGCCACAGUCGAUUCCUGUACUGACUCAAUUUGGCCUUAAUUUUCAUCACCAAUUUCAGUCUGGCUGAAUCAGUAGGCAGACCCAUGUUUCUUCAGCAGAGCUGUUUUCCUCAGGCUGUGAGUAACAGAAACACUUCAGUAUGUCCUUAAAUCUAUCCCCCUAGGCAUAAUUAAGCACGUUCUCCUGUUGCCCUGAGCAAGGAGGAUGCCUGCUGUGGAGGGAGGCAGGAUUGCCUAAUGAAUUGAUUUGGACUCCUGAGCAAUGUGGAAUAGUUCAGAGAGUCUCGGCAGGACUGAUGCUAAAUCACAGAUGAAAAUAGCAAUCUGUCAGCAGUGUGCUUCCUGUUUUUGUUGUGGCCCAGAUGAUUUUGCUGCUGAAAGGCCAAAAGUGACACAUAUGAAGAAAAGAUAGCAAUAAAUACAUGUCGGGGGAACGAUUCAGUGUACAGUAAUUGUAAAGCACCAGAAAUUAAAAGCUAGAGUGAGCCUAGGGAUAAUCUACCCUAGAAAUUGGUGAUAUGGCAAAAUCUGGGAAAAAUGGAUGUGGAACCAGUUAAACUAAACAGCUCUGCCUUAGGCUGGGAUUAGCACUUUGCCCUCACUUGCACUUAGUAUCAUAUUUAGUCCAAAAUCUGCAUCAAAACUGUUUCAGCUGUGUUGGCCAGAUUUUGAGACCUCAACAAUCAUUGUUUCCUUGCACCUCUGGUGUUGGGCUAUUGUUAAGUUUGUUUUUCUUUGCUCUUGCACAAUUUGACCUUUUAGCUCCUACAAUCAGCCUUAAAAUCAUUCUUAAAGCAAUAUUUCUCAGAUUUUAGAGAUGUUUGAGAAGAUUCUCUCAAUUAGAGUGAGCCCGCUUGAAGCUGCAUCAGGUCAGAGUGCACCCUACCUGGGGAAUACGAGCAGCUUCAGGCACUGAAAGAUAGCAGCUCUGUGGUUAGCAUGAACAGUUUCAAGUGGUAAUUACCCCUCUUACCUAGAGGAGUCAAACUGCUGCAGUCUGCUGCCUUGCUCCUUUUAAAGCCUUUGAUCUUCACAAUUUUGAUGUUUUGCUCCAGUAUCCUCAUUGGCACAGGUGCCAAAUAAUCCCACCUUAACAAGAUCAUUGGCUCCAGGAGGACUGCUUGUGUGUUUCAACUUAUAGAAUCAUCACAGAAUUGUUUGAAUUGGCAGGACCCUUAACCGUCGAAUAUCCAAGCCCCAUGCAAUGAGCAGGGACACCUGCAGCUCCAUCAGUGCUCAGAGCCCCAUCCAGCCUGACCUUGAUUGUCUCCAGAGAUGGGGCAUCCACCACAGAUCUGGGCAACCUGUGCCUGUGCUUCA